AGUUCUUUGCAAAAUUUCUCACUUCUCCUUUCUCCUUUUCUAUGUUUCAUUUCUUGAUUCUUUGCAAACUAUAUGGAGUACAAGUUCUUACAUUAGGAUCUCGUUUAUUAUGUCAAUGCAGAAGGAAGAAGAAUAUCUUAGGUAAGGUUUCGACUAUGUGUGUCUCCUUUUCGAUCGAUUGAAGGUUUUGUUUCAAGAUUUUUUUUACUAACGUUCCUAUUUUUUGUUUUUUCUUUUAGAUUGUACCAUCAAUUUUGAAUUCCCUACAAUUAGACCGGGAGUUAGCUUGUUCUUCGUUUUGGGUUCGGCUUUGUUUGGAACAUUUACAGCUAGUUUAGAUUUAUUCAUUUUUUUGGGAUUAUAUUUUUUUCUAGAUUUUUGGGUGUGUUAUAUAUGAUUUUUUUUACAUUUUUAUAAAAAAAAAAAUUUCAAAUUUUGUCAAUUUUUUAUUUCAUAGUUCGCUGAAUUUGUUUGGUUUGUGAAAGCUGAUUGUUGUAUUAUACUUGUCAUUCCAACCUACCUUGUUUAUUAUAUUUCUCUAGGUUAGGCAUGGGUACCAAUAUUUUAAGUGAAUAGGAAAGUCUGUACAGUUAUGAAUUCUCAACAAAUCAGUUAUGUGGCCCAUCUAUCGCGAUAAACUAUCGUUCCCGACAAUUCAUUUUAGUCAUUCUCGACUGAUGACUAUUUGAUAGUUAAAGAUAGUAUUUUCCGAGCAUUAUACUUUGUUUUUUGCUUUCUUGUGUGUCGCAUUAACAUCCGACGAAUUCAAAAUUUUAAAUACUCUCGUCUCAUUUCGUAGUAUGCAAAUUAGAAAUAUUGAAUUCAUGUCCAUUUCUAUUGUAAUUAUUUUUUUCAACUAGAUGGAAGAGCCAUUAACUCAUACUUGAAUGAUUUUGAGAGUUCAAUGCCUAGUAGGAACCAAGAGGUGAACGGUACGUUCGUUCAUUAUGAAGAAUUCAAAAUUUUAAAUACUCUAAUCUCAUUCCAUAGUUUGCAAACUAGAAAUACUAAACUCAUGUUGGUUAGUGUUAUAAAUGUUGUUUUCAAAUAGAUGGAGGAGCCAUAGAGCCCGAAGUGUUAUGUCUGGACAACGAGGAAGUUACCUCAGCCUGUAGCGUGAUGGAAAUGGCCACCUUACCCAUCGUAAGCAACAAUGUUGAUAACAUAAAAAGUCUGUGAUUGACACACAUUUGAUUUCCUGUAGCAUCUACUAGGACUCCAUAUAUUGAGAGGAGAAAGAGAGUAAAGAAAUAGUAUAACAAAAUUUGUUAAUACUACAUUAAAAUCGAUUUGUGAUAGUGUACUAAAUGACCUAAUUUUGCUUCCCUCCAAGAAUGUGGUUAUAAACACUAUUUGGUGGUUAUAUUCA
rnacentral:lncRNA from 1 species